AUUUAAUGAAUUAUAUUUAAUUAUUUAAAAAAAAAAAUUUUAAUUUUAGUAUUUUUAUGAAUAAUUUUUAUUUAUUAUAGUGAAUUAGUAUAGUGAUAGAAUUUUAUAAAAUUUUUUUAAGAAAAAUUAAUUUUUUGUACCUUGUGUAUCAGGGAUUAUUAAUUAAAAUUUUUAUAUUAAAAUUUCUCGAUUUUGAAAGAGUUAAAGUUAUAUUAUGUUAUUGUUGAAUAAAUAUUUAAAAUAUAAUUUUGGUAGUGAAAUGUUAUUCGUAUUUAAAUAUAUCUAGUUUUUUAAGAAAUAAAUUUAAUUUAUAACUAAUAUUUUAAUUUUUUAUUUUAUUUAUAUAAUUAGAUAUUAGAUUUAAUAUAUUUUGGGAUAAGCUAGAAUAUAAAUAUUUAAAAAUUAAUUUUUAACAAAAAUAAAUAUAGGAUUAGUAUUUUUUAUUAUUUAAUAUGUUAUAAUUAAUAUUAUAAAUUUAUGAUUUAUAUUAAUUUUAAAUUUUUUAUUAAAAAGAUUUAUUUUAUUUAAAUUUAAAUGUUAUAAUGAUAGUAUUAGUAUAAUAAAUUGUAAUUUUAAAUUAAAAUAUUAGGUUAAUUUAAGGAAUUCGGCAAAUAUAAUUUUCGCCUGUUUAAUAAAAACAUGUCUUUUUGAUUAUAAUUUAAAGUCUGACCUGCCCACUGAAUUUUAAAUGGCCGCAGUAUUUUGACUGUGCAAAGGUAGCAUAAUAAUUAGUUUUUUAAUUGAAAGCUGGAAUGAAUGGUUUCACGAGAAAUUAUCUGUCUCAAAUUAAUUUAUUUAGAAUUUUAUUUUUAAGUUAAAAAGCUUAAAUUUAAUUUAAAGACGAGAAGACCCUAUAGAGUUUUAUAAUUUAAUAAAUUAUUUUUUUUAGUAUAUAUUUAUAUGGUUUAUAAAAAUUAUUUUGUUGGGGUGAUAGAAAAAUUUAAUUAACUUUUUUUAUUUUUAAACAAAAAUAAAUGAAUUAUUGAUCCAAAAAUUUUGAUUAUAAGAUUAAAUUACCUUAGGGAUAACAGCGUAAUUUUAUUAAAGAGUUCUAAUCGAAAAUAAAGUUUGCGACCUCGAUGUUGGAUUAAAAUUAAUUUUUGGUGUAGAAGCUAAAAUAUUAAGUCUGUUCGACUUUUAAAAUUUUACAUGAUCUGAGUUUAAACCGGCGUGAGCCAGGUUGGUUUCUAUCUUAAAUUAUUUAAAAUAUUUUAGUACGAAAGGACCAAAUAUUUAUAAUAUUUAUUAAAUAAGAUUAAAAAUGUUAUU
rnacentral:rRNA from 1 species